CCGUCACUAAUGUCACAGCAGCACACAGCCACCCUGGCUCUGCUCCACCAGUUCUUUACUUAGAGCUCUGCCUUUGUUUCGUAACAUCAAUAAUGCAAAUGUACAAGAAUAAAGAAGUUUACAGCCUUGCUGCUUCCCAUUUAUGUUAUGACAUCUGCAUUCCUGGAAUGAUCAACUCCUGCUCUGCUGAAUUAACUGAAAUACCCCAUCACUCACUGAAUUUCUUAGCAGCACUGAGAGCUCUCACCUAUGGUGCACCUGAGGCCCGAAGGGGAUCAUCUCAACGGACUUAAAAAUGGUUGUGCUUUUAUUAAUAAAACA